UACUACCGAUUGGAUGGCUCAGUGAGGCUUUCGGACUGGCCAGGGCUGUUGGAAACAUCAGCCUAGUGCGAGAAAGUUAGUCAAACUUGGUCAUCUAGAGGAAGUAAAAGUCGUAACAAGGUUUCCGUAGGUGAACCUGCGGAAGGAUCAUUAUGGUUUUUUUUUUCCAUCAAAAAAAAUAUUUGCGUAAUUUUUAGCAUUAAAACUUUUGGCAAUGGAUCUCUUGGUUCUGGCAACGAUGAAGAACGCAGCAAAAUGCGAUAACUAGUGUGAAUUGCAUAUUUUAGUGAAUCAUCAAGUUUUUGAACGCACAUGGCGCUCUUUGGCAUUCCAGGGAGCAUGUCUGUCCAAGCGCAAUUACAAACAUAUGAGUAUUCAGUUUUGCGGGCGCUGCAUCUGCACCCUGCUAAAUGUGUGAAGCGAGAUUGGCAAGCAGCCGCAGUCAUGGAAUUUUCCGAUUGCAGCAGCAAACAAUAUGCCUUGGAUCAGACAGGAGGACCCACUGAACUUAAGCAUAUCAAUAAGUGGAGGAAAAGAAAUCAACAGAGAUUGCCUCAGUAACGGCGAGUGAACCGGCAUGAGCUCAAAUUUGAAAUCGGGCGUCCAUUGGCAUCCGAGUUGUAUUUUGGAGAGGGUGCUUUGUGGCACAGCGGGCAGACUGCAAGUUCUUUGGAACAAGACACCACAGAGGGUGAGAGUCCCGUACCGGUCUGUUGUCUGUGUGCGUAUAUAGCCCCUUCAACGAGUCGAGUUGCUUGGGAAUGCAGCUUCAAUUGGGAGGUAAAUUUCUUCUAAAGCUAAAUAUCAGCCAGAGACCGAUAGCGCACAAGUAGAAUGAUCGAAAGAUGAAAAGCACUUUGGAAAGAAAGUCAAACAGUACGUGAAAUUGCCAAAAGGGAAGCACAUGUGACUAGAAUCGCAGGCGUUGCUUUAGUGGUAUUUGUUAAUGCCGCUGUCAACAGCGUCGGUGGGCCAGCGUCAGCUGUGAUGGCACAAUUAAGGCCGGGCCAAUGUAGCUUAGCUUUCGGGGUAAGCGUUAUAGGGCCCGGCGCCAGUGUGCCGUACUCGGCUGAGGAACGCAU
rnacentral:rRNA from 1 species